ACGGAAGGCAGCAGUGGGGAAUAUUGGGCAAUGGGCGAAAGCCUGACCCAGCAACGCCGCGUGAAGGAAGAAGGUCUUCGGAUUGUAAACUUCUUUUAUGAGGGACGAAGGAUUUGACGGUACCUCAUGAAUAAGCCACGGCUAACUACGUGCCAGCAGCCGCGGUAAUACGUAGGUGGCAAGCGUUAUCCGGAUUUACUGGGUGUAAAGGGCGCGUAGGCGGGGUGGCAAGUCAGAUGUGAAAUCCAUGAGCUCAACUCAUGAACUGCAUUUGAAACUGUCACUCUUGAGUGUCGGAGAGGUAGAUGGAAUUCCUAGUGUAGCGGUGAAAUGCGUAGAUAUUAGGAAGAACACCAGUGGCGAAGGCGAUCUACUGGACGAUAACUGACGCUGAGGCUCGAAAGCGUGGGGAGCAAACAGGAUUAGAUACCCUGGUA
rnacentral:rRNA from 1 species